GUACGGUGUUUCUUAAAGAAGAUCCAACAGGCAAGUCAAUUUUCUAUCCGAUUCGCUAAUUGCAAGCGAAUACCGGAAUAGGUAGCGAUCGUAGCAAGGAGCAACAGUCUAGCGAAUAAGCUGGCUGCUGUAAGACGUGCCAACCAAGACUCGUUACGACUCCCUUUUGUCCACGUCUUUGGAAGCCACGUGGGGCCUGACGUUGUCACGCGGUAAUUUCACCGAACGUGCUGCUUCGUAGGUGCCCCGACGAUCGGUCCUCGUCUAAAGACGCGACACUUUAUCGCGAUGGGAUUCGUCGCUUACCCAACAAGUGGCUCAAAGUUACAGAGAGCAACGACGAACGAAUUCCUCGAUCCAACGGCUUGCGCAUCGCACAGCGAGAUCGUUGCUUGCCAAAUGGGGUAAAAAGCACGUUCUUCCUACGUUUGCCCACGGACGUUGUCUCUCGAGAGAGAGACCGAGCCAUUCGAGCACCUUCUGCGAAGGUAAGCAGGUACGGAUUGUUAUCGAGACAUAGAAGCGAUUAUAACUUUGAAAUAAGGUCAAAUUGGAUACGCGUUUACACCAACUCUUUCCUUCUUUUCGUCUCCACUGUCCACUGUCCUCUAGUGGAUCCCACGUAUUACGAAACACACCCUGUGUACUCUCUCUCUCUCUCUCUGCCUCUCUAAACUUGACUUUUGUCUCUCAUCGUCCGUGGAUUUACCUAGUUAGGCAACAUUAUAGAACGAGAGGAAAGAAAAAUUCCGUGCUUCCUAGGUUCGUGGAAAUUACGAUAUUUACGAAGAAGAGAAGCGAUUGAGAAUGAGAAUGAACAAAAACGUGACAGUGAGUCGUCAACUUCUUCGAUAUAGAUCGUAGCGGUUACUAAACUACGCGUGACACGUGACACGUUCGAAACGUAACGUAAUACGUUUGUAAAUUAUAUAGAGACAAUUAUAAUGUUGUCAGUACGAGGAUAGAUCGUAAGAUAUUAACGGAAGAAGAAACCGGAUUGUUCGUUGUUAUAGCAUAGAAGACGUUCCAGGGGCAUCCGAGGUCUCGAAUGUUCAAGGCCUGAUUUAAUGUGUUAUACGAUUAUAUAUAAAUACUUUUUAUAUUGACGGAUACGGAAAUAAAAUGUACAUGUAUCGUAUGAUAGAAAAUGUAGAAAAUAUAAAUAUAUAAUAACGUUAUAAAUA